rnacentral:rRNA from 1 species
UACGUAGGCAGCGAGCGUUGUUCGGAGUUACUGGGCGUAAAGGGUGUGUAGGCGGUUGUUUAAGUUUGGUGUGAAAUCUCCCGGCUCAACUGGGAGGGUGCGCCGAAUACUGAAUGACUUGGAGUGCGGGAGAGGAGAGUGGAAUUCCUGGUGUAGCGGUGAAAUGCGUAGAUAUCUGGAGGAACACCGGUGGCGAAGGCGGCAUCCUGGACCAACACUGACGCUGAGUGAGCGAAAGCCAGGGGAGCAAACGGG